GCAUGAAGGGGCCGUUCUUCAGCUCUGGGGAUUUAAGAGCGAAUUGGAGGGUUCCUGGAAGAGAGACGUGAUCCUCUGGAUUCCCACCAUGGCCUGGGCCCCUCUGCUCCUCACGCUGCUCACUUACUGCAUUGGUUUCAGUUCCCAGCAACUCCAGUCGCUGAAGGCGUCUGAGUUCGUGUCUCCUGGAGGGACCGUGACCCUCUCCUGCAGCCUGAGCAGUGGGGCCCUCACUGAUAAUAACUACCCACUCUGGGUUCAACAGAGACUGGGGAAUGUUCCUCGGCUGAUCAUGCACACUACGAGUACCAGGCCCUCGGGGAUCCCAGAGCGUUUCACUGGCUCCAGAUCGGGUAACACCAUGUCCUUGACCAUCAAGGGGGCCCUGGCGGAGGAUGAUGCUGAUUAUUACUGUUGUGUGUGGACUGGCAGUGCUCAUCACAGUGAUACAGUCAGAUGGGGAAGUGAUACAAAAACCUCCCUCCCCCCUGUGCCCUGCUGGGAGCUGUGGUGGCUGCAGAGCCCAGGGUAUAAGUGAGGUAUUUCGCAAAGCUGAGCAUCUCUCCCUGUGAAUUCCAUCUCUUCCCCCCUCUGCGCAGGGUUGCCCAGCAUCAUCCCAGCUGAUUGCCACAGUCAGAUAGAACAGAUAAGAUAUUGUCUCAUCCACCUUGUCUCCCUAAUAUCCUGGGACCAAUAUGGCUGCAACACGGCAAACAACAGUUAGAAGAAGCAGCCAGGCAGACUGACAGAGAGGAAAGAGAAACCUAAAAGGAAAGAGAAGAAACAAGGAGCAGGAGUCGUUAGCUGAAAUUCCAUCUCUGGGGCAGUUCCAGUUUCUCCAUUCCCCACCCUUCUCCUCCUUCUCCUCCUCCACUUGGCUGUCGACCUACACAGCAGCUGUCUGGGGCGCUGGCUAGCUGGCAGCAUCCCGCUCCCUCUUGUUGUCCAUUCUUUCUCCAUGAAGAAGCCAGGCAGUGAGUGAUACCCUGACUCCCCUCUCAGCUCUCUCUGGUUGGGGCUGGGUUUGUGACCCUGGGUGGCCAAGUCCCACUUUGAAGUUGGCUUUCACUCAUUGAAGGGAUGAUUCUUCGUCACCCCCA